rnacentral:rRNA from 1 species
GACGAACGCUGGCGGCGUGCCUAAUACAUGCGAGUUGAGCGCUGAAGGUUGGUACUUGUACCGACUGGAUGAGCAGCGAACGGGUGAGUAACGCGUGGGGAAUCUGCCUUUGAGCGGGGGACAACAUUUGGAAACGAAUGCUAAUACCGCAUAAAAACUUUAAACACAAGUUUUAAGUUUGAAAGAUGCAAUUGCAUCACUCAAAGAUGAUCCCGCGUUGUAUUAGCUAGUUGGUGAGGUAAAGGCUCACCAAGGCGAUGAUACAUAGCCGACCUGAGAGGGUGAUCGGCCACCUUGGGACUGAGACACGGCCCAAACUCCUACGGGAGGCAGCAGUAGGGAAUCUUCGGCAAUGGACGAAAGUCUGACCGAGCAACGCCGCGUGAGUGAAGAAGGUUUUCGGAUCGUAAAACUCUGUUGGUAGAGAAGAACGUUGGUGAGAGUGGAAAGCUCAUCAAGUGACGGUAACUACCCAGAAAGGGACGGCUAACUACGUG